GACGAACGCUGGCGGCGUGCUUAACACAUGCAAGUCGAACGGAAAGGCCCUGCUUUUGUGGGGUGCUCGAGUGGCGAACGGGUGAGUAACACGUGAGUAACCUGCCCUUGACUUUGGGAUAAUUUCAGGAAACUGGGGCUAAUACCGGAUAGGAGCUCCUGCUGCAUGGUGGGGGUUGGAAAGUUUCGGCGGUUGGGGAUGGACUCGCGGCUUAUCAGCUUGUUGGUGGGGUAGUGGCUUACCAAGGCUUUGACGGGUAGCCGGCCUGAGAGGGUGACCGGCCACAUUGGGACUGAGAUACGGCCCAGACUCCUACGGGAGGCAGCAGUGGGGAAUAUUGCACAAUGGGCGGAAGCCUGAUGCAGCAACGCCGCGUGCGGGAUGACGGCCUUCGGGUUGUAAACCGCUUUCGCCUGUGACGAAGCGUGAGUGACGGUAAUGGGUAAAGAAGCACCGGCUAACUACGUGCCAGCAGCCGCGGUGAUACGUAGGGUGCGAGCGUUGUCCGGAUUUAUUGGGCGUAAAGGGCUCGUAGGUGGUUGAUCGCGUCGGAAGUGUAAUCUUGGGGCUUAACCCUGAGCGUGCUUUCGAUACGGGUUGACUUGAGGAAGGUAGGGGAGAAUGGAAUUCCUGGUGGAGCGGUGGAAUGCGCAGAUAUCAGGAGGAACACCAGUGGCGAAGGCGGUUCUCUGGGCCUCUCCUGACGCUGAGGAGCGAAAGCGUGGGGAGCGAACAGGCUUAGAUACCCUGGUAGUCCACGCUGUAAACGGUGGGUACUAGGUGUGGGGUCCAUUCCACGGGUUCCGUGCCGUAGCUAACGCUUUAAGUACCCCGCCUGGGGAGUACGGCCGCAAGGCUAAAACUCAAAGGAAUUGACGGGGCCCCGCACAAGCGGCGGAGCAUGCGGAUUAAUUCGAUGCAACGCGUAGAACCUUACCUGGGUUUGACAUGGAUCGGGAGUGCUCAGAGAUGGGUGUGCCUCUUUUGGGGUCGGUUCACAGGUGGUGCAUGGCUGUCGUCAGCUCGUGUCGUGAGAUGUUGGGUUAAGUCCCGCAACGAGCGCAACCCUUGUUCACUGUUGCCAGCACGUUAUGGUGGGGACUCAGUGGAGACCGCCGGGGUCAACUCGGAGGAAGGUGGGGAUGACGUCAAGUCAUCAUGCCCCUUAUGUCCAGGGCUUCACGCAUGCUACAAUGGCUGGUACAGAGAGUGGCGAGCCUGUGAGGGUGAGCGAAUCUCGGAAAGCCGGUCUCAGUUCGGAUUGGGGUCUGCAACUCGACCUCAUGAAGUCGGAGUCGCUAGUAAUCGCAGAUCAGCAACGCUGCGGUGAAUACGUUCCCGGG
rnacentral:rRNA from 1 species